rnacentral:rRNA from 1 species
AGAGUUUGAUCAUGGCUCAGAGCGAACGCUGGCGGCGUGCUUAACACAUGCAAGUCGAACGCGCAGCAUUCUGUAGCAAUACAGGGUGUGGGCGCGUGGCGAACGGGUGCGUAACACGUGGAUAACCUUCCUUGAGGUGGGGAAUAACCCAGUGAAAAUUGGGCUAAUACCGCAUAACAUCGCGAUGGCACAUGCUGAUGCGAUCAAAGGCGCAAGUCGCCACAAGAGGGAUCCGCGGCCGAUUAGCUUGUUGGCGAGGUAAUGGCUCACCAAGGCAAUGAUCGGUAGCCGGACUGAGAGGUUGGCCGGCCACACUGGAACUGAGACACGGUCCAGACUCCUACGGGAGGCAGCAGUGGGGAAUCUUGCACAAUGGACGAAAGUCUGAUGCAGCAACGCCGCGUGGGGGAUGAAGCUUCUCGGAGUGUAAACCCCUUUCGACCCGGAAGAAUGCCCGCAAGGGUAUGACGGUACGGGUAUAAGAAGCCCCGGCUAACUACGUGCCAGCAGCCGCGGUAAUACGUAGGGGGCCAGCGUUGCUCGGAAUUACUGGGCGUAAAGGGUCCGUAGGCGGUGUAGCAAGUCGAUAGUGAAAUCUCUGGGCUUAACCCAGAGGCUGCUAACGAAACUGCUGUGCUAGAGUGUGAGAGAGGCGAGUGGAAUUACGGGUGUAGCGGUGAAAUGCGUAGAUAUCCGUAGGAACAUCCGAGGCGAAGGCGGCUCGCUGGAUCACAACUGACGCUGAGGGACGAAAGCUAGGGGAGCAAACAGGAUUAGAUACCCUAGUAGUCC